ACGGCCUCUAGUGCAGAUCUUGGUGGUAGUAGCAAGUAUACAAGAGAGAUCCUUGUAGACUGAAGUGGGGAAAGGUUUCGCGUGAACAGCAAUUGGACGCGAGUGAGUCGGUCCUAAGCAUGGCCUGAGAUGGUGGAAUGGAUGAUUGUUUGAAAGAUAUCAAUCCGCGUGCGAAAGGGAAUUGCGUUAAUAUUCGCAAACCAGAGGUUAGUGUUUAAUGCGGUAACGCUAGCGCUGUUUGGAGACGUUGGCGAGCAUCCCGGGAAGAGUUCUCUUUUCUUUUUAAUUCUUUCUUUAAUUAAUCACCCCGGAAGUCCUUUGCGGAGCGAGGGGGCGAUUGAAGAAGCAGAGCAGCCCAGUUUUGGGGUUGUCCGGUGCAUGUUCGACGGCCCGUGAAAAUCCAAAGGGCGGCAUCAUUUUGCCUCUGGCCGUACUGAUAACCGCAACAGGUCUCCAAGAUGAAAAGUCUCUAGUCAAUAGAAGAAUGUAGAUAAGGGAAGUCGGCAAGAUAGAUCCGUAACUUCGGGAAAAGGAUUGGCUCUGAGGGCUGGGCACGGGGGUCCCAGUCCCGAACCCGUCGGCUGUCGGUGGACUGCUCGAGCUGCUCCCGCGGCGAGAGCGGGUCGCCGCGUGCCGGCCGGGGGACAGAUUGGGAACGAUCGUUUCGGCGGUCUUCCCCGGGCGUCGAACAGUCGACUCAGAACUGGUACGGACAAGGGGAAUCCGACUGUUUAAUUAAAACAAAGCAUUGCGAUGGUCGGAAACGAUGUUGACGCAAUGUGAUUUCUGCCCAGUGCUCUGAAUGUCAUCGUGAAGUAAUUCAAAAAAGCGCGGGUAAACGGCGGGAGUAACUAUGACUCUCUUAAGGUAGCCAAAUGCCUCGUCAUCUAACUUGUGACGCGCAUGAAUGGAUUAACGAGAUUCCCACUGUCCCUAUUUACUAUCUAGCGAAGCCACAGCCAAGGGAACGGGCUUGGAAGAAUCAGCGGGGAAAGAAGACCCUGUUGAGCUUGACUCUAGUCUGACAUUGUGAAAUGUCAUGUGAGGUGUAGAAUAGGCGGGAGCUACUUGUAGCAACCUUGAAAUACCGCCACUCACAUCGACGUUUUACUUAUAUCGUCACAGUGUGACUUGAAUGUUGAUAAAGCAUUCAAGUUCUGGUACAUAAGCGUAGCAAUCACCGCGAUAGAAAUUGUCAGGUGGGGAGUUUGGCUGGGGCGGCACAUCUGUUAGAAGAGAACACAGGUGUCCUAAGGAGAGCUCCGUGAGAACAGAAAUCUCACUUAGCGCAAAAGGGUAAAAGCUCUCUUGAUUUUGAUUUUCAGUGUGAAUACAAACUGUGAAAGCAUGGCCUAUCGAUCCUUUAGUGUUUUAGAAUUUCAAGCUAGAGGUGUCAGAAAAGUUACCACAGGGAUAACUGGCUUGUGGCAGCCAAGCGUUCAUAGCGACGUUGCUUUUUGAUUCUUCGAUGUCGGCUCUUCCUAUCCUGCGCUUGCAGAAGGGCGCAAUGGUCGGAUUGUUCACCCGUUAAAAGGGAACGUGAGCUGGGUUUAGACCGUCGUGAGACAGGUUAGUUUUACCCUACUGAUGAAGUUGUUGUCGUACCAGUAGUUCAGGUUAGU
rnacentral:rRNA from 1 species